ensembl:lncRNA
UUUUACUACCCCAGUCGGGUUGUUUGAGUUCGAGCGGAUGCCGUUUGGUCUGUGCAAUGCACCCGCUACAUUUCAACGCCUGAUGCAGCACUGUUUGAGUGGACAGAUUGCAGAGUCUUUAUUGGUGUACUUAGAUGACAUUAUCAUUUAUUCACCUGACUUUUCGUCUCAUUUACAGCAUCUAGAUGAAGUGUUUCAGAGGCUGUGGCGUCAUGGGUUGAAGUUACAGCCGAACAAGUGCGAGUUCCUGCAACAGGAGAACACCUGGAAGGGGCUGGAUCAGAGCGAGAAGUUACUUCAGCAGCCAUUGAAUUGACCUGUGAACUAGAGGGGAGCGACUGGGCAGAAGCACAAGUUCGCGAUCCGGAUAUUCAAGUGGUAAAACAACUUUUGGAAGCUUAGGUCGCACCCACAAAGUCAGAACGUCAGGCAUUGUCGCAUGGUGUGCGGCGACUCCUACAGGAGAAAAAAAGGCUUUUUAUUAAAGACGGAGUACUGUGCCGUAAAGUGUUGGACGAAUAUACCCAGGAGACUCGUUAUCAAGUUGUGUGUCCUAGUUCCAGGUGCCAUGAGGUGUGGAGGAAGAUCCAUGAGGCUGCUGCCCAUGCGGGGGUAGAUCGAACCCUAUCUCGGAUACGGCAGCGGUUCUACUGGGUUAACAUGGAAGCGCAGUUCCACAGGUUAUGCGCCUGCCUAUUUGAUGUUUGGUCGACACUUGCGACUUCCUGUGGACGUGGUGUUAGGCGUGGCCCCCCAGCAGGCGAGGCAGGAUGUAAGUGAGUGGGUGUAUUCUCAUCAACAGAAACUCUCCCUAGCUUACCGUUUGGCUGGGCAGAGGAUGUAUAGUGCGGCCUCCCAACACAAAAGCCAGUAUGAGAAAAGAGGCUGUACCCUCCCAUUGUUGCCCGGAGAGAGAGUCUGGGUACGUGACCGAAACAGACAGGGCGAAGGAAAACUGUGCUCCUGGUGGUCUCCUGAGCCAUAUGUGGUGUUGGAACAGGUGGGAGAUGCGGGCUUAGCGUAUAAGGUCAAACCAGAAAAGGGGGGUAAUAUACAAACUUUACAUAGGAAUGCCUUAAAAGUGUGCAUUGCUCCUCAAACAGACUUUACCCCUCCUACGGAGGAGCCAACCACAGGCCCUUCGGAUUUCCCAGCGCCAGUGUUUUAUGGGUUUUUACCCCUUACUGACUGUGUGUCACCUCACCAGAGUGAUUCAGGUAUGUCCCUUAGACGGUCCAUUAGGACCACGCAUGGGAUUCCACCUGAGCGUUAUAGAGAGAUAGAGCAUUAGUAGGGACUGCUAAUAUUUCAGUGUGGGGGGAUGUCAUCCAGAGAAGGACGGAUGUUGUUUUGCUGUGCUGUAUUUUAAUGUGAAGUGUACUUAUUUAUAUUUUUAUAUUGCAUGUACUGGUUAUAUUUUGUGCAGUGUUUUAUUUAGAUUGCAUGUUUUGGUUAUACCGUCAAAUUGUCCUGGAGAGACUCCGCCUUUCCCCAUUUUUACUAAUUGGACACACCUGAGAGGAAAGGCAGUGUAAUUUACAGAGUGCUGAGUGACACAUAAGAGGGUUGGAGCUUGGCGUUCGAGGAGGACGGACAGCACCAGCGACUAGGGACGCGGAGCGAACAGGCGGACAGCAGUAGUAACGAGAGCCCAGCUUGUGCACUGCGGGAGAGCAGAGGCGGCGAGACAGCUGGUGCCGAUUUGCAGUUUUAAAGAAGCGGCCGGCGGAGUUGAGAGCUCUGCCCACCCGGGGUAAGUCUUCGACUUAGCCCCUUUUAUUGAAUGAAAAUUGCCAAAAAGAAUAGUGACUGCCGCUCCCUCCCUUUCUUCAGCGUACCAGGACGCGGAAUGCGGGGAGGAAGGCGAGGACUCCGCUGGGUUUCCCUUUUACAUCACUUCGCUGGACUUUUUUAGUUCUUUGUGACUUUUAUAUCGUGGCGGAUGCCACUAGACUUUUAAUGUUGUGUUUUAUUGCUUUUUAUUGUGUUACCCCUUGGCCAAGGUUGUUUUAAUUCAUUUUGCAUUUUUAACUAUUUAAAUAUAAUAAAUUAUAUUUUAAUUAUACAGUU